GACGAACGCUGGCGGCGCGCUUAACACAUGCAAGUCGAGCGAGAACCGGGACUUCGGUCCCGGGGACAGCGGCGAACGGGUGAGUAACACGUGGGUAAUCUGCCCUCGAUUCUGGGAUAGCCCGGGGAAACCCGGAUUAAUACCGGAUAGCCUUUCGAGCUUUCGGGCUUGGAAGAAAAGGUAGCUUCGGCCUCCGAUCGAGGAUGAGCCCGCGGUGGAUUAGCUUGUUGGCGGGGUAAUGGCCCACCAAGGCGACGAUCCAUAGCUGGUCUGAGAGGACGAUCAGCCACACUGGGACUGAGACACGGCCCAGACUCCUACGGGAGGCUG
rnacentral:rRNA from 1 species